AUCCAAAAUGUAUAGUAAGAGAUGAGGUACGAUUGCCGAUGAGACAACUAUCCAAGUGUGUUUAAUCUCGCAGUUGAAACUUUCCAAUACCCGCUCUUUAACAUGCAUGAGGUACAUUGUCCGAGAAACACGUUCUUUUAUUAAAACAUAGUUUGGGUAAAUUUUAAGAUUACAUACCAAUCAUCUUUAAAACAUUUGUUUUAUAAUAUAUUGAGUGAAGUUUUCUGAGGUGUUAUAGAUAAUCAGGAGCCUGUUGUUCAGUGGUUGUCGUGCGUUGGUGUGGUUCAUAGGUAUUUUUCGUUUCUCGUUUAUUUAUAUAGAUUAAACCGUAGGUUUUCCUGUUUGAAUUGUUUUACACUAGUCAUUUUGGGGCCCUUUUAUUUGCUGUUCGUUGGAGCCAAGGCUACUUGUUGAAGACCGUACUCUGACCUAUAAUUGUUAACUUUUUAUACAUUGUGACUUGGAUGGAGGGUUGUCUCAUUGGCACUCAUACCACAUCUUCUUAUUUAUAUGUACUUUUUUCGUUUCUAUUUUCCCUCAGUUUUAAUGGAUCUCAUGUCUGCCAUCCCUCUCUGGACCCUGUUUUUGAGCUGCUAUAAAUAAAUAUGCAGUCCUUUGCAGUUGAUGGAAAAAAAACGUGUAGUCAAUUUUAGUAAUAAUCGUUUGGCGUUGAUCGGUACUUAUACAUCCCGCCAUUGUGAUAUUGUGCUAUAGUCAUUUUUAUACGACCGCAAAAAAAAAUUGGGGUCGUAUUGUGUCCGAAGACAUUUGGUUUCCGAACAAUAACUUUAGUUUAUGUGUAUGGAUCUCUAUGAAAUUUAAUCAAAAGGUUCCAUACCACAAAACAAAAAGGUUGGGAUUGUUUUUUGGGGUGAUGGUCCCAACCGUUUAGGAAUUAGGGGGCCUGCUUCAUACCUUGAUCUUUUCCUCAAUAUUGACACAGAUUGGCGACUUCACACUAAAGUCUAUGACAAACGGGAUGAUUUCAACUUCCCAAUUAUUAAUUUCCCAUUUCUCAGCAGUAACAUACCCUCUGCUCCGUCGUAUGGUGUUUACAUAUCUCAAUUGAUACGUUAUGCUCGUGCAUGUUCACACUAUACGGACUUCAUAUACAGGAGUGUGCACCUUACGCAGAAACUGCUCCAACAAAGUUAUGAGGAGGAAAGAUUAAAAAUGACACUCCGUAAAUUAUAUGGACACCAUCACAAAUUGGUUGAUCUAUACGAUGUGUCUGUGUCUAAACUAACUAACGACGUUUUUACCACGUCUUAGAUUGUGGUUUACCAUCUACAUCGUCUGUCUGCUAAGUACCGAACGUGACCUAUUUCCGAAUAUGACUGUUUUGCCGAUUGAAAAUUCGCAUGCUAUACGACGUGUUUCGGUAUUUAUAGAUCCAACAUUCAUGUAUUUAGUUAUUAUGUUUCUUUUCUAAGUACGGUUAGAUAUUGUGUUUUAUUAUACUUCAUGUCAAAAUUCCAGAUUUUGAUUGGUUGAUAGCAAGAAGACAAUUAACUCUAUCCCAUGGCAAAAACUCUAUUACCCUUCACGGAGACGCUUGAUCGAGUGUGCGCUUUAAUAAAUACGGAUGAUUGGUAUUGAUUUUUCACAAGACGUCACAGCUAUUUCUUUGAAUUUGAAAUUGAAUAGACAGCAAUAACAGAACAUUCAGUAUAAUAAAUUAAAUAACAUAUAUCUGAGAGAGUGAUAGAGCAGAUUAUUACCCCUCGAAAAGACAUUGUCAAUCUUGGCUUGAAAUUUUAAGACUACGAUUUUUUUUUUUUUUAUUUUUUUUGGGGGGGGGGGGUGUAUAAUGCAUAAACAGAGCAUGACUUGCAAAUAAGUGUGAUUUUGUUAUACCCCGCAAAAUUCUGAAUUUGAGAAGGUUAUAUUAGCUAACUAUUUCAUUUAACAAUGAUGUAACUUAAUAGGAUUUCCAUUUUAAACCGAAUGUGAAAAUAUGUCAGCUGUGCUAAGGUUCUAAAUUUUGAUCGAAACAUUAUAAUAAGUGCGUCAUUAAAUAAAAAAAAACCUCGUUGCACAUUUAACAAGGACGGGUAUAUGAUACUGAUGGCGUGAUCAUAUAAGAAAACAAAAUAUCACUUUACAGCAUUAACAAUACAAUAUAUUUAUAGUUCUCUUUAAAUGGACAAAAAUAUAUAAAUCACCAUAAAACUUAAAAAUGUCAAAUCAUAACUUUCAUAAGAUUAACAAAGUACAAUACUGAGAAUCGUCUUUCUGCUGUAUUUUUUCUGAUUCCAAGUAUUCAUAGAGAAAGUCUGUUCUUAUUAUGUUAAAUUUGUAAGUGCAUUGUUGGGUUAAUACAAAUUAUUAUCCAUAAAACACUUAACAUCUCAUAUACCGAUUAAGAAGACACGAAAGCAGGGAACAAGCAAAGACUGAUAGAAUCGCAUGACUUCCAAAAAGAACGAUACCGGGUGCGGCGACACGGUAAGCGUCUCCUGC
rnacentral:lncRNA from 1 species